GACGAACGCUGGCGGCGUGCUUAACACAUGCAAGUCGAACGGAAAGGCCCUGCUUUUGUGGGGUGCUCGAGUGGCGAACGGGUGAGUAACACGUGAGUAACCUGCCCUUGACUUUGGGAUAACUUCAGGAAACUGGGGCUAAUACCGGAUAGGAGCUCCUGCUGCAUGGUGGGGGUUGGAAAGUUUCGGCGGUUGGGGAUGGACUCGCGGCUUAUCAGCUUGUUGGUGGGGUAGUGGCUUACCAAGGCUUUGACGGGUAGCCGGCCUGAGAGGGUGACCGGCCACAUUGGGACUGAGAUACGGCUCAGACUCCUACGUGAGGCAGCAGUGGGGAAUAUUGCACAAUGGGCGGAAGCCUGAUGCAGCAACGCCGCGUGCGGGAUGACGGCCUUCGGGUUGUAAACCGCUUUCGCCUGUGACGAAGCGUGAGUGACGGUAAUGGGUAAAGAAGCACCGGCUAACUACGUG
rnacentral:rRNA from 1 species